rnacentral:rRNA from 1 species
AUACGGAGGGUGCGAGCGUUAUCCGGAAUUACUGGGUUUAAAGGGUGCGUAGGCGGCUUUGUAAGUCAGGAGUGAAAGUUUGCGGCUCAACCGUAAAAUUGCUUUUGAUACUGCAUGGCUAGAAUUAGGAUGAGGUCAGCGGAAUGUGGCAUGUAGCGGUGAAAUGCAUAGAUAUGCCAUAGAACACCAAUUGCGAAGGCAGCUGGCUAGACCUAUAUUGACGCUGAGGCACGAAAGCGUGGGGAGCGAACAGGAUUAGAUACCCUGGUAGUCCACGCCCUAAACGAUGCUUACUCGACGUAUGGCCCUAGAGGUUGUGCGUCCAAGGGAAACCGUUAAGUAAGCCACCUGGGGAGUACGACCGCAAGGUUGAA